rfam:Ipomoea nil DNA, scaffold: scaffold1525, cultivar: Tokyo-kokei standard.
GUUGUUUUAGCCGAGUGAUAAGGGCUUGUGCCUGUUAAGUAAAUGCGUUUCCCAACGAGAGUCCAAAUCUCUCAAGCAACG